rnacentral:rRNA from 1 species
UAAGGAAUAUUGCUCAAUGGGAGAAAUCCUGAAGCAGCAACGCCGCGUGGAGGAUGAAGGGUUUUUAACUUGUAAACUCCUGUAAAGAAGGAAAAAAUUCCCAUUAGAUGGGAAAUGAUGGUACUCCUGGAGUAAGCCCCGGCUAACUACGUGCCAGCAGCCGCGGUAAUACGUAGGGGGCAAGCGUUGUCCGGAUUUACUGGGUGUAAAGGGUGCUCAGGCGGAUUUGUAAGUCAGAGGUGAAAUCUCACAGCUUAACUGUGAAACUGCCUUUGAUACUGCAAGCCUAGAGUAUGGAAGAGAGUGAUGGAAUAUCUGGUGUAGCAGUGAAAUGCGUAGAUAUCAGAUAGAACACCAAUGGCGAAGGCAGUCACUUGGUCCAUAACUGACGCUAAAGCACGAAAGCGUGGGUAGCAAACAGGAUUAGAUACCCUGGUAGUCCACGCCCUAAACGAUGAAUACUAGAUGUUGGCUUCGCAUGAAGUCAGUAUCUGAGCUAACGCAUUAAGUAUUCCACCUGGGAAGUACGAUCGCAAGGUUGAAACUCAAAGGAAUUGACGGGGUCAUA